GAGACAACAAUGGGUAAAAAGGACAAUCAAAUGACCAAGAUUAUCGUUCAGAUAGUGGCCCUUAAUCUCAUUGCACCCUCGAUUCCAGGGGGAAUAUGUAAUAUGCACCCCCCCCCCGCCUGAGGUAAGUGCCACAACCCAGCAAAAAUAUUAUCGAUUGCAUAAACUCUCAGACAAUGAAAUAAUAUCUGAACACUUGCCACCAAAUUUGGAUGAUACCACUGAAACACAAAGAGCAUUGUGAGUCUCUUCACAAGGGGCUAAAAAGAUGACACCUUAAACAUUAAACAAAACCAAAACAAAGAUCUAGCCUUAACGAAAGGAGAAAGCAGAAUUUUUAAAAGUACCGUAUUUUUCACCCUAUAGGACGCACUGGCCCAUAGGACGGACCUCGUUUUUUGGGGGGGAAAUGAAUAAAAAAAAAAUAUUCCCCCCUCCAGCCAUGGGGCUGGGGCGGGGGAAGCCCGAGCUUCCCCCGACCCCAGCCCCCAGAACAGGCUGCCGCCCUCAAGCCUUGCGAACCAGCGGGAACUCCCCCCAGGCGCGCAAGGCUUGCGGACACCUGCGCGAAGCACGGGGCGUCCUCUGGAGCACCGACGCCUCUCGCUCUCCAGGCUUCAGCGAAAGCCUGCAUUCACCCCAUAGGACGCACACACAUUUCCCCUUCAUUUUUGGAGGGGGAAAAGUGAGUACUAUAGGGCGAAAAAUACGGUAUACAAAAAUCGUGCGUGAUUUAGAAUUUAGCUUAGAAAAAUAGGAAGCUGCCUUAUACUGCCAGACCAUUGGUCCAUCCAGGUCAGUGUUGUCCACUUUGAGUGGCAGUGGUUCUCUAGGGUUUCUGGCAGGAAGUCUUUCCCAGCUCUGUUUGAAUGAAUAAAAAGGUUAAAGGGGAAAGUGUGCAAUCUGUCUUCAUGCAUUCUAACAUCACUCAAGUGACACAAAUGCCACAAUGCUUUUUUCCCCUUCUUAAAAAUGGACCAUUCAAGUCUCUUUGGGGCACUUUGGUAAAGCUACCGGUAUAUAACUGUACCUUAGUCUGUGUUCUGUUGUUAAAUGGAUUAUUACUUCCUCUGGUAUUGUUGAUGAAUAAGUGUACGCAAUUUAAAAAUAAAAUAAUCCUCGCCUUUGAUUUUAAAAGCGAUAUUUAAUAAAGGGCUUUAAAUUUUCCAUGCGAAAGCAUUCCCUUGAUUUACUGGCAAUCAAUAAACCAUCUUUCCAGAGAAUCCAGCACAUCAAAGCUUGUGGGACUUUCGGCACUUUUGACUGACAGGUUAUCUAGUCUGAAAUAUUA